rnacentral:rRNA from 1 species
GACGAACGCUGGCGGCGUGCCUAACACAUGCAAGUCGAACGGAAAGGCCCUGCCUUUGUGGGGUGCUCGAGUGGCGAACGGGUGAGUAACACGUGAGUAACCUGCCCUUGACUUUGGGAUAACUUCAGGAAACUGGGGCUAAUACCGGAUAGGAGCACCUGCUGCAUUGUGGGGGUUGGAAAGUUUCGGCGGUUGGGGAUGGACUCGCGGCUUAUCAGCUUGUUGGUGGGGUAGUGGCUUACCAAGGCUUUGACGGGUAGCCGGCCUGGGAGGGUGACCGGCCACAUUGGGACGGAGAUGCGGCACAGACUCCUACGGGAGGCAGCAGUGGGGAAUAUUGCACAAUGGGCGGAAGCCUGAUGCAGCAACGCCGCGUGCGGGAUGACGGCCUGCGGGUUGGAAACCGCUUUCGCCUGUGACGAAGCGUGAGUGACGGUAAUGGGUAAAGAAGCACCGGCUAACUACGUG